rnacentral:lncRNA from 1 species
CAUGUCAACAAGGAUUCUAGCCAUUUCCGAGUGCAUUGAAAAAAUCUGGAGCACCUGGGUGGCUCAGUAGUUGAGCAUCUGCCUUUGGCUCAGGGAAUGAUCCUGGGGUCCUGGGAUCGAGUCCCACAUCGAGCUCCCCACAGGGAGCCUGCUUCUCCCUCUGCCUGUGUCUCUGCCUCUCUCUCUCUCUGUCUCUCAUGAAUAAAGAAAUCUUUAAAAAGAAAAAAUCUCCUUUUCCUCCCCCACCCUCCCAUUCCUCCUACUACAAAGAGGACAAAGCAGUCCUGGCUGGGCUUGAUUGGCAGUGAAUAUAGGACUCCAUCAGGUCACAGUGGGACUGGUGAUCAAUGUGGAGGAGACGGGGCUGAGGAGGAGACGCAAGGAGAUGUCACGCUGUCGGUGGACCAGUCAGCAACAUCUCAGGACCACCACCGGGCUUGAGAUUUGAGAAAAAGGCACUGGGUUUUAGAAGGCAAUCCUACAAAUAUUAAAAUAAACACUUUUUUCCGUUUAUAGCUGGAUGAUCAUGAACACCCUAACUGGCUACAUAAGCGUUGGUCCAGAAGGGGACACACGCACAUGCUUUUGUUUAAAACAACUUAGUUGAGCCAGUUUCUAAAAAUAAAAAUA